rnacentral:rRNA from 1 species
UGGGGAAGAUUGGACAAUGGGGGGAACCCUGAUCCAGCCAUGCCGCGUGUGUGAAGAAGGCCUUAUGGUUGUAAAGCACUUUAAGCGAGGAGGAGGGUACUGGUAUUAAUACUACCAGGUACUGGACGUUACUCGCAGAAUAAGCACCGGCUAACUCUGUGCCAGCAGCCGCGGUAAUACAGAGGGUGCGAGCGUUAAUCGGAUUUACUGGGCGUAAAGCGUGCGUAGGCGGCUGAUUAAGUCGGAUGUGAAAUCCCUGAGCUUAACUUAGGAAUUGCAUUCGAUACUGGUCAGCUAGAGUAUGGGAGAGGAUGGUAGAAUUCCAGGUGUAGCGGUGAAAUGCGUAGAGAUCUGGAGGAAUACCGAUGGCGAAGGCAGCCAUCUGGCCUAAUACUGACGCUGAGGUACGAAAGCAUGGGGAGCAAACAGG